rnacentral:rRNA from 1 species
AGUGAACGCUGGCGGUAGGCCUAACACAUGCAAGUCGAACGGCAGCACAGUAAGAGCUUGCUCUUACGGGUGGCGAGUGGCGGACGGGUGAGGAGUACAUCGGAAUCUACUUUUUCGUGGGGGAUAACGUAGGGAAACUUACGCUAAUACCGCAUACGACCUACGGGUGAAAGCAGGGGAUCUUCGGACCUUGCGCGAUUGAAUGAGCCGAUGUCGGAUUAGCUAGUUGGCGGGGUAAAGGCCCACCAAGGCGACGAUCCGUAGCUGGUCUGAGAGGAUGAUCAGCCACACUGGAACUGAGACACGGUCCAGACUCCUACGGGAGGCAGCAGUGGGGAAUAUUGGACAAUGGGCGCAAGCCUGAUCCAGCCAUACCGCGUGGGUGAAGAAGGCCUUCGGGUUGUAAAGCCCUUUUGUUGGGAAAGAAAAGCAGCAGGUUAAUACCCCGCUGUUCCGACGGUACCCAAAGAAUAAGCACCGGCUAACUUCGUG